rnacentral:rRNA from 1 species
UACGAAGGGGGCUAGCGUUGCUCGGAAUGACUGGGCGUAAAGGGCGCGUAGGCGGUUCAUACAGUCAGAUGUGAAAUUCCUGGGCUCAACCUGGGGGCUGCAUUUGAUACGUGUGGACUAGAGUGGGGAAGAGGGUCGUGGAAUUCCCAGUGUAGAGGUGAAAUUCGUAGAUAUUGGGAAGAACACCGGUGGCGAAGGCGGCGACCUGGUCCUUGACUGACGCUGAGGCGCGAAAGCGUGGGGGAGCAAACAGG